AACACAUUUCAGUCCAGUGAAAUUCUUCACUUCAUUUCUUCCUGGUAGGUCUCCAAAGCCAGGUUGUCUCCAAAUUCACGGGUGGGUAGAGGGAAGCUCCAGGCUUUGGCCCUGCUGGAUGGAUCGAUCCUUACCCACCGUCACCACCACCCAGCCCGAUCUCCUUGUCUCCACAGCCAGGCUGAACCUGAAUGAGGUAGAAAACCAGUGGCGUUUAAACCAGCUCAACAAUGCUGCCACCACCUUGGUCUUCAUAACUGUGGUCAUCAACAUUUUUAUCACUGCUUUUGGGGCACACAAGACAGGUUCCGUGGCUGCCAGGACCUCCAGCAAUCCUAUUUAAUGUCCACCUAGGUCCCAGGAGCUGGGUCUAAAGCCACUUCAGCCUUUGUUUCUGACCUGUCAGGCUAACUAGCACUUCCAACAGCCUCCUGGAGAGCUUCGGGGACAAUGGAGAUGCCCCUGCCUCUCACCCACAGCACCAGAGUUAAGGUUCGCCCCUUUACUGGGUGACAUAAUUGCAUCUUGGUCUGGAGGCCUGAGCUUCUUCCACCAACAGUAACUCCGUCUGCUGAGGCAGCAUCCGGGCACUCUGGUUGCACUGCACUCCUUCCCUCCAUAUUCCCUUUCUGCAAAAUGGAAUCUAUCUAUAAAGGUAUCUGAAAAUCC
rnacentral:lncRNA from 1 species